rnacentral:misc_RNA from 1 species
AACAUCGCGCACCUGCGGGAACCUGCGGAAGGAUCAUUACUGAGUCACGUGCUCAAACGACCCUUCUGUGGACCUGAAAUAAAACCGUUGCCUCGGCGGGCGGUCCCCCCCAAACCAACCCCACGUGGUGGGUUAGGGGAGACCAGACAGUCCGGUACGCUUAAGGCGUCCGGCGCCAGCCGCUGGCCCCAAACAAUUAAACUCUAGUAAUCUUUACCUUCUGAGUUUCAAUAUUUAAAA